UGUGAGAUCAUGACUGAAGUGGAGA
rnacentral:piRNA from 1 species